CACCGCGGUUAGACGAGAGGCUCAAGUUGACAAAUUACGGCAUAAAGCGUGGUUAGGGGCCCCCUUAAACUAAAGCCAAACCCCUUCAAGGCCGUUAUACGCAUCCGAAAAUGUGAAGCCCAACAACGAAAGUGACUUUACCCACCCUGACCCCACGAAAGCUAAGAAA
rnacentral:rRNA from 1 species